GUUGAAGGGAGACUGUGAAAGGAGCGAAAAGGACGAGGAGAAGGCGAGAGGGAGGGAAAAAGGAGUAUAUGAAAAGGGGUGAAAGGUAGGGUGAAGGUGGAAUAGGCGAGCUUUUUCGGCAGGCGCGCUCGAGGGGGGCGUAAGGAGAGCCGGGAGAGACGGGGAUCGGAGGGGCGAGUGGUUCGCUCGGUGGGAGAAACAGGAGACCCGGGCAGUGCAAGCCGGGCAGCCUGCCCGACGAUAUCGUCGCUCUCGAUAUCGCGUGUACAUACGCGUAGCAGGUACGAAAGUACGGAGUAGGACGAACGUGUGUUUCCGCGAUAAGGAGACAGUCGA